AGCGAAUAGAUACCGGGUAGUCCACGCCGUAAACGAUGGAUGCUAGCUGUUAUCAGUAUCGACCCUGGUAGUAGCGAAAGCUAACGCGUUAAGCAUCCCGCCUGAGGAGUACGAGCGCAAGCUUAAAACUCAAAGGAAUUGACGGGGACCCGCACAAGCGGUGGAGCGUGUUGUUUAAUUCGAUGGUAAGCGAAGAACCUUACCAAGGUUUGACAUCCUGGGAAAGUUGGUGAAAGCCGACCGUGCCUUCGGGUAACCCGAGUGACAGGUGAUGCAUGGCCGUCGUCAGCUCGUGUCGUGAGAUGUUUGG
rnacentral:rRNA from 1 species